rnacentral:rRNA from 1 species
CCAGUACGGCGAGUGAGCGGCAAGAGCUCAAAUUUGAAAGCUGGCUCCUUCGGGGUCCGCAUUGUAAUUUGCAGAGGAUGCUUCGGGAGCGGUCCCCAUCUAAGUGCCCUGGAACGGGACGUCAUAGAGGGUGAGAAUCCCGUAUGGGAUGGGGUGUCCGCGCCCAUGUGAAGCUCCUUCGACGAGUCGAGUUGUUUGGGAAUGCAGCUCUAAAUGGGUGGUAAAUUUCAUCUAAAGCUAAAUAUUGGCCGGAGACCGAUAGCGCACAAGUAGAGUGAUCGAAAGAUGAAAAGCACUUUGAAAAGAGAGUUAAAAAGCACGUGAAAUUGUUGAAAGGGAAGCGCUUGCGACCAGACUCGCUCGUGGGGUUCAGCCGGCAUUCGUGCCGGUGUACUUCCCCGCGAGCGGGCCAGCGUCGGUUUGGGCGGUCAGUCAAAGGCCUCUGGAAGGUAACGCCCCCUCGGGGGCGUCUUAUAGCCAGGGGUGCAAUGUGGCCUGCCCGGACCGAGGAACGCGCUUCGGCUCGGACGCUGGCAUAAUGGUCGUAAGCGACCCGUCUUGAAACACGAACA